GGUAAUGGCUCACCAAGGCGACGAUCCCUAGCUGGUCUGAGAGGAUGAUCAGCCACACUGGAACUGAGACACGGUCCAGACUCCUACGGGAGGCAGCAGUGGGGAAUAUUGCACAAUGGGCGCAAGCCUGAUGCAGCCAUGCCGCGUGUGUGAAGAAGGCCUUCGGGUUGUAAAGCACUUUCAGUCGUGAGGAAGGUGGUAGUGUUAAUAGCACUAUCAUUUGACGUUAGCGACAGAAGAAGCACCGGCUAACUCCGUGCCAGCAGCCGCGGUAAUACGGAGGGUGCGAGCGUUAAUCGGAAUUACUGGGCGUAAAGCGCAUGCAGGUGGUUUGUUAAGUCAGAUGUGAAAGCCCGGGGCUCAACCUCGGAAUAGCAUUUGAAACUGGCAGACUAGAGUACUGUAGAGGGGGGUAGAAUUUCAGGUGUAGCGGUGAAAUGCGUAGAGAUCUGAAGGAAUACCGGUGGCGAAGGCGGCCCCCUGGACAGAUACUGACACUCAG
rnacentral:rRNA from 1 species